UUGUGUACAAUUUGGAAAUUAGUAUGGCGUUCAUUAUCACUGAACUAGUAUAUAUUUGUUUAGGGGCCAGCUGAAGGACGCCUCCGGGUGCGGGAAUUUCUCGCUACAUUGAAAACCUGUUGGUGACCUUCUGCUGUUGUUUUUUUCUAUGGUCGGGUUGUUGUCUCUUUGGCACAUUCCCCAUUUCCAUUCUCAAUUUUAUUAGAACAGAAA
rnacentral:lncRNA from 1 species